rnacentral:rRNA from 1 species
GAUGAACGCUAGCUACAGGCUUAACACAUGCAAGUCGAGGGGCAGCAUGGUCUUAGCUUGCUAAGGCCGAUGGCGACCGGCGCACGGGUGAGUAACACGUAUCCAACCUGCCGUCUACUCUUGGACAGCCUUCUGAAAGGAAGAUUAAUACAAGAUGGCAUCAUGAGUCCGCAUGUUCACAUGAUUAAAGGUAUUCCGGUAGACGAUGGGGAUGCGUUCCAUUAGAUAGUAGGCGGGGUAACGGCCCACCUAGUCUUCGAUGGAUAGGGGUUCUGAGAGGAAGGUCCCCCACAUUGGAACUGAGACACGGUCCAAACUCCUACGGGAGGCAGCAGUGAGGAAUAUUGGUCAAUGGGCGAGAGCCUGAACCAGCCAAGUAGCGUGAAGGAUGACUGCCCUAUGGGUUGUAAACUUCUUUUAUAAAGGAAUAAAGUCGGGUAUGCAUACCCGUUUGCAUGUACUUUAUGAAUAAGGAUCGGCUAACUCCGUGCCAGCAGCCGCGGUAAUACGGAGGAUCCGAGCGUUAUCCGGAUUUAUUGGGUUUAAAGGGAGCGUAGAUGGAUGUUUAAGUCAGUUGUGAAAGUUUGCGGCUCAACCGUAAAAUUGCAGUUGAUACUGGAUAUCUUGAGUGCAGUUGAGGCAGGCGGAAUUCGUGGUGUAGCGGUGAAAUGCUUAGAUAUCACGAAGAACUCCGAUUGCGAAGGCAGCCUGCUAAGCUGCAACUGACAUUGAGGCUCGAAAGUGUGGGUAUCAAACAGGAUUAGAUACCCUGGUAGUCCACACGGUAAACGAUGAAUACUCGCUGUUUGCGAUAUACGGCAAGCGGCCAAGCGAAAGCGUUAAGUAUUCCACCUGGGGAGUACGCCGGCAACGGUGAAACUCAAAGGAAUUGACGGGGGCCCGCACAAGCGGAGGAACAUGUGGUUUAAUUCGAUGAUACGCGAGGAACCUUACCCGGGCUUAAAUUGCAGAUGAAUUACGGUGAAAGCCGUAAGCCGCAAGGCAUCUGUGAAGGUGCUGCAUGGUUGUCGUCAGCUCGUGCCGUGAGGUGUCGGCUUAAGUGCCAUAACGAGCGCAACCCUUGUUGUCAGUUACUAACAGGUUCUGCUGAGGACUCUGACAAGACUGCCAUCGUAAGAUGUGAGGAAGGUGGGGAUGACGUCAAAUCAGCACGGCCCUUACGUCCGGGGCUACACACGUGUUACAAUGGGGGGUACAGAGGGCCGCUACCACGCGAGUGGAUGCCAAUCCCCAAAACCUCUCUCAGUUCGGACUGGAGUCUGCAACCCGACUCCACGAAGCUGGAUUCGCUAGUAAUCGCGCAUCAGCCACGGCGCGGUGAAUACGUUCCCGGGCCU